rnacentral:rRNA from 1 species
UGUGAAGAAGGCCUUCGGGUUGUAAAGCACUUUUGUCCGGAAAGAAAACUUCGUCCCUAAUAUGGAUGGAGGAUGACGGUACCGGAAGAAUAAGCACCGGCUAACUACGUGCCAGCAGCCGCGGUAAUACGUAGGGUGCGAGCGUUAAUCGGAAUUACUGGGCGUAAAGCGUGCGCAGGCGGUCUGUUAAGACCGAUGUGAAAUCCCCGGGCUUAACCUGGGAACUGCAUUGGUGACUGGCAGGCUUUGAGUGUGGCAAAGGGGGGUAGAAUUCCACGUGUAGCAGUGAAAUGCGUAGAGAUGUGGAGGAAUACCGAUGGCGAAGGCAGCCCCCUGGGCCAACACUGACGCUCAUGCACGAAAGCGUGGGGAGCAAACAGGAUUAGAUACCCUGGUAGUCCACGCCCUAAACGAUGUCAACUAGUUGUUGGGGAUUCAUUUCCUUAGUAACGUAGCUAACGCGUGAAGUUGACCGCCUGGGGAGUACGGUCGCAAGAUUAAAACUCAAAGGAAUUGACGGGGACCCGCACAAGCGGUGGAUGAUGUGGAUUAAUUCGAUGCAACGCGAAAAACCUUACCUACCCUUGACAUGGUCGGAACCC